rnacentral:misc_RNA from 1 species
UGGCUCUCGCAUCGAUGAAGAACGCAGCGAAAUGCGAUAAGUAAUGUGAAUUGCAGAAUUCAGUGAAUCAUCGAAUCUUUGAACGCACCUUGCACCCUUUGGUAUUCCGGAGGGUACACCCGUUUGAGUAUCAUUGUAACAUCACCACAUCAACUUGUUGUUAAUGUGGUGGACUUGGAUGCUGCCGUGUUAUGACGGCUCAUCUGAAAUCUCUGAGUACAUCCUGAUUUGUGGUGUGUUCGGUGUGAUAAAUCUUCACCGAGUUGACCUCUCAGGUCACACCCACUUGACAUGGCUCUGUGCUUCCAACAGUCUCCCAUGUGAGACAACUCCUGACAAUUUGAUCUCAAAUCGGGUGGGACUACCCGCUGA